CUAAAGAGGGCUGACCCUUCUUCUAUUUAAAAAAGGGGCGGAUACUCUGAAAAUACACAAGAAAUUCUUGCAUUUUUUAAUCUAAAUUGGUCCUGGUUUUGCUAUUUAAUUUUGACUAUUAGUCAGAAUUUAUAGAUUUCAAAGAUUUUUUGAUUGUGGGUCUAAAAAGGUUUAAUCAUGGGAAGCUAAGAUAUUGGCUUGAAGCUCUCUGGUUUAUUUGGUUACUGCUCCAUUAGAAUCUGACAGCUUAUCUGUUGUUGCUACUUUACAGAGUCCUGAUUUUCUUCUUGUUUCCUUUUGUUUCCCAGGUAUUUCAUUUGAAUCUUGAAUGAAAUUGAUUCUUGUUUAAAUUUAUGAUGUGAGGAUGUAAAUUUCAGUUGAAGAAAGAAGUCUUGCUCUGCAGCUUUACUAACUUUUCUCCUUUAAAGUUUGUUGCAUUAUGUUUCUAGCUUCUUCCUAGUUAGGCUCUAUUUUUCUACUUCAUCUGUAGCUAAAUAAAUAAUCUGCACCAUACUUGUAUUUUAGGAUUAAUAUGGGAUCUAAUUUGAAUGCUUUCAAUCCAAUAAUAUGAGAUGUUAGAUAUAUGUAUUAACUUAGUAAGUAUUAGCUGAAGGAUUCGCUUGCUUGACUGUGAGUUUGUCUGCUUUUGAGUGCAUUUGAGAGCUGUAUGUUUGUUAGUUCAAAUUAUUCAUGAUGGAUCCAGUUUUCCAUGCA
rnacentral:lncRNA from 1 species